rfam:Aedes albopictus isolate Foshan contig65276, whole genome shotgun sequence.
CAAACGGUCCUUUUCAGGAUCACCGAAAAUUAUAUCUCAAGAGUUGU